rnacentral:misc_RNA from 1 species
CAAGAAGAGACCCUAACCGGUCCUCUCCACCCUGCCCAUCGUACCCUUUUGUGUUGUUCCCUCGGCGAGUGCUCUGCGGGCCCGCCGGCGGGAAGAUCAAACGAAAACUCCUUUGCGAAACAAGCAUAUCGAAAUCUCUGAUCGAAUACAUGAAUUAGUCAC